rnacentral:misc_RNA from 1 species
GUUGAAAAGAAAACUGAAAACUCCAAGAAACUCAAAGAAAAUCAAGCUGCAAGGACUGACAAGGAGGACGGAACAACCCCAGGUGGUGAAAAGAAUGAACCGUCCGAUUCCUCUGGGGAGGAUUCUAACAAUGACAUGGAAAAGGGGAACAAAGACAACCAUGAUCUCACUAACUUUGGGAUUGUGACUGACGAAGACAAGGAAGGUGACCGAGAGGCUUUGAUGAAACUUACUAGCAUGAUUGAAGAAAGGUUGAAGACCAAACCUUUGCCCCCACCACCUCCACAAACACCUGCAGAUGGUUCCAGGCAUACAAACUCAGAACUGCCAGCUAAAUCAAGGGAUGGGGACUCUGAUGCUGAUAUA